rnacentral:rRNA from 1 species
UACAGAGGGUGCGAGCGUUGUUCGGAAUUAUUGGGCGUAAAGAGCGUGUAGGCGGCCAGAUAGGUCAGCUGUGAAAACUCGAGGCUCAACCUCGAGAUGUCGGCUGAAACCAUCUGGCUAGAGUCCGGAAGAGGAGAAUGGAAUUCCCGGUGUAGCGGUGAAAUGCGCAGAUAUCAGGAGGAACACCGGUGGCGAAGGCGGGUCUCUGGGCCGAUACUGACGCUGAGACGCGAAAGCGUGGGGAGCAAACAGG